CUACGAUCGAUGCCUCCAACCCCCAACCUCCUCCCUGGCUCCCGGCGCCGCCCGCCCCCAUCUCCUCCCCGAUCCCGGCGCCGCCCGCCCCCAUCUCCUCCCUCACUCCCGGUGCCGACCCCGCCCCCACCUUCUCCCUCACUCCAUAGCCCGCGCCCGCGUUCUUCCUCUCCCCCAUCUCGUCUCAUCUCCGGUCGCUGCAGAGGAGCCCAGUUUCACGCCGCCACCAUGGUUGGCCUGCAGCGAGCAGCAGAGGACCUAGCCGCCGCGUCCGACCUCAACCGCCGCCUGAAACCCUAGCCCCUCCUUCCAACGGCAGGUCAAGCCAGCAGGAUCCCCUCCAAGAACAGCAUUUGAUGUGUGAGUGCAUCCCCUUCUCUUCUUCUUCUUCUUCUCGAUUUGAUGUGUGCGUGCGUGCUGUUGUGUGCAGGCCCGACUCAUCUCUGCUUGUGCACAACAAGGAAGGCCAUGGAGACGCUGCUCCCUAUGUUCAGCGCGUGGACGGACGAUGCAGCGUUGGGGAUGACUCAUGGCUGCCUCCGUUUGUGCAGAUUGGGUACUCUGGAGCACAUGGAAGGAGGAGAAGGAUGGGAGGUGUGUAGAAUUCGGCGCCAAGGGAGACGAUCGAGAUGGUGGAGCAGAAUCCAGAGGACGACGGGAGACCAGGUAGAGGAGAGACAACACCCGGAUAUCAGGCAGUGAAUGCACACAAUGCAAGGAUACUUUAAACAAAUACAAGUAUCAUCCAUAUGAAGGUCAUCGGGCGUUUGGAAGAGAAGAAUGAUGCAUAUAUCAUCUCAGUUCAGAUGCUCCUGUUUAGUGGGACGCUAUGCAGUUUUUUGGUGAAUGGUGCCGCUGCUGCAGCUCAUUGGUUCUAGCCCGACAUUCAGCUCUGAAUGGACGUGUGUCAGGGACAGGAUGAUCACCAUCCAGGUUUUGACACGGUAUUUUCUCUUUCUUUAUUAGCAGCCGCAUGUGGAAAGGUUUGGCAAUUCAAAGUACUUCAAGAAACUGUUAUCAUUGAAGCCUGCUUGGAAAUUAUAUAGAAGUGUAAUUUGUAGUGGAGUUAUCAGUUCUCCGUUGAUAAAUGUACAAUGUGAAGGCAAAUAAUCUUUUUGUAUGAUUAUGUUACAUUACAGCUAUCAAAACGCAUGCAGAUGUUGCAUCUCUCUCUCUCUCUCACACACACACGUGUGUGCGCAUGCACACACAAACACAUACGCACGCGAUCAGGCAAUGGAGGGCCCCGGCUCCGAUUGCAAUAUUUCAUAUUUGUUUUGCUUUUAUAAGUGGUGGAUGCAUAGCCUAAAUUAAGGGCCAAGCUUUAGGCAGGAAAGUGGGACAAUCUUCAGUAACAUCACCACGCUUCUUAUCAUACCCACUCGCGGUGGAGCCGCCAGCCUGGCCGAGUCGCUGUUGAUCAGCGCCAACUCCAUGAGGGAAAAAUAUGGUACUGAUUUCUUAGGUUGUUAGGUUCUGUGUUCUCCUAGGAUUUAAGAUGGUGAAGUUACUGUGACUGUAAUCGAAUAUCCAUUUCAAU